rnacentral:lncRNA from 1 species
AUGCGAAGUCUGCUUCUCAACAGGUCCCAGCAAAUGAUGCUGGGAGAAGGCACGCGUCUGAGAGUACACAAGUUCCUGCNGAACCAACUGUGUCCCCAGUUCUUGCUUCAAGAAAAUGUGAAACUCUGCACGAGGAUGCUAGCACGUACGAUUCCUGGCUUCUUGGGAAAUCUCACGCACAAAACUGCCUUUCUCCUCUGCACUGACCGAAUCCACAGUGAGACACCGUGAGGGACAAACUCAGGCGAGCCCAUCCUACAAAACAGUCAUCUGUUUCUCUUCUCCUCAGAGAAAAUAUGAAUGUUGUGUUUGUCCUCAAUACUAUUCACUUUUAUUUAUGGUUUUUGGUACAACCCGGGUUUCAUUAUCUGAUAUUUUUAGAAUACUCCUUUAUAUUCUUAGUGAAUUUUUAAACACCUAGAUUUAUUGCACCACAGUGUGAAUACAUUUAGCAUAAUUCAAUUGCACAUUUAAAAAGAUGGUUAAGAUGGGAGCCAGGUGUGGUGGCACAACCCUGUAAUCCCCAUACUCAGGAGGCUGAGGCAGGAAGAUCCUAAGUUUGAGGACAGCCUGGGCUACAUGGCAAGACCUUAUCUCAAAAAACAAACCAAAAAUCCUUAUCUCAAAAAAAAAAAAAAAGGUCAAGAAGGGGCUGGGGAUAGAGCUCCUGGUAGAGCCCUUAUGUAUGUAGCCUGUGCAAGGCUCUGGGUUCCACCCCAAGCUGGAGGCGGCGGGUAAAGAUGGUCAAUUUUAUGUUAUGUGUAUUUUGCCAUAAUUAAAAAAAAAACAGACCUAUCAUUUUCUACUCUUCUCUGAUGGGGAAAAGACUCGAUGAUAAAAUAACCUACCAGUUAGACUAAACGGAUGGUUUAAAGUCUGCAUGCGUGUUUGGUGGCCAAGUGGAAUCGGGUGGGGUGGGGUGAGAAUUCUGCCCCUUAUGACCCUCACCAUCAGCUUCAAACAUGAGCUUAUACCCGCCCCUUGAGCAGGCAGCUUAGCACAUGGAUGUGUGAUUUCAUCUCUUUAUGGCUGAUACACAGAAAGGAAAUGCAGAGCCAGAGAUCGCUUGUAGCCAGGUAAUUAGCUCACUGCAAGUUGGCUUUGACAAAAUCCAUGACUGUCUUGCAGAAGGAUGGGCCUUUGUUUCAUGAUGACAAAGAAACAGACAGCCAGGGAUUCCUUGAGAAAGGUGUUCGAGUCGUCAUCGCCUUUCAGAAUCCAACCCCGAGUUUCUGACAGUGCACAUUCUCUGUGAGCCUGAAGAAGACCUUGUGGACUGAGAGCCAGCAGCCCACUUGCCUCACCUCCACAGCUCCCUGACAGCCCACUGCCAAGGGCACCGCCAAAUGCCACACC